rnacentral:ribozyme from 1 species
AGCCCAGCAACUCCUAUCCCUACCUCAUCUCGGUACUGGCCGGGGUACGAGUAACCUUAAGGAAGAUCGGGUAACCAAACACGGUGGG